GACAGAUAGAAAAAUAAUUGUAUGGUUUGGAAGUUUGCAGAGUUUAUCGUAUGAAAAGCAGUUAGAUUAUCUAUUGGAAAUACGAAACACUAUGCAAGUCGAAGACAAAUUAUUGAUUACAUUAGAUGUCACAGACACUACUUGUAAACAGACGAUAGAGCUUGCUUACCUUGAUCCGGAAGGAUACUGCGAAAAUUUUCAUCUGAAUUCCAUCCAUCGCUUGAACAGGGAAAUGAAUGCUAAUAUUGAUAUAUCAAAGUUCAAAAUUAAGAAUGAAUUGGUUGUGAAUUCAAGGUCAAAUAAUUGUAGCUACGUGAAUGCGUGGAUAGAGGCAAUAGAGAAUUGUGAUGUUCACAUAGGACAAUUAGAUUUAACCAGGGAAUUUCAAAAAGGAGAACGAUUGUACCUCCACGAAGAGAACGGGAUAAGCUGCAAAUAUACUAU